rnacentral:snRNA from 1 species
AGCUUUGUGCAGUAGCAAUAUCGUAGCCAAUGAGUUUUAUCCAAGACAUGAUUAUUGCUAAUUGAAAAAAGCAUAUGUGUGUGUGUGUGUGUGUGUGUGUGUGUGUAUAUACACAUAUAUACAUAUA